GGGAGCUUGGAUGUGGAAGCUCUUUGGAAACCAAGAAACACUCUGCAAAUGAAAAGGGUGGAAGAGUAAACUGUUCCCGUUUCUCCAAAUUGACAGGAAGCAGAAGUUCUCCUUAGCUGAUUUUUCUUCUUGCCUUAUACUGGGUUCUUUAACACCAGAACAAAAAUAAAUAAAUAAAAGAAUCUUCCAGAAAUUCAUGAAGAGACUUCAGGUCAGGAAAGCCUGAACUUUCUCAUCUAACACCUGUUCAAGUCGGAGGAUGCUGAUUAAUUCAUGAUGGAAAGGUAUCAAUUUCACAGCCCAGACUUCUACAUUCUUGAAAUGCUGUUCUCAUGGGAGACAUUAAAUAAGCUUUGAAAUAACUGGACUUAUCUUCCUCAGUUCCCUGUGGGGAACUUUUGUAGAGCCACACGAAAGGAGGUUUUUAGCUCUCACCUAUGGUCUUCAUCAUGCACCUCCUAGAUUCAAAAGUUCAGCAGGGGCAUGUCAAGCUAUAUAAAUAAAAACAAACUAAGACAAAAAUGUAACAUUCCAUACCUUAAAAUGCAACCUUAAUAACGUGAAAGACCCUGAAGGACUUGAGAUGUGAAGAUUUUCUACCACGGUCUUUGCAUGUAUUAUUUCUGACAGCUGUUCCUUUCUAUUCCCUCUUGCACACAUCUUUAGUUACUCCCUGUUCUCCAUCCCUCUGAUAAAAUCUAGUUCCCCC
rnacentral:antisense_RNA from 1 species